rnacentral:misc_RNA from 1 species
GAGAUGUCUCAAUGUUGGC